rnacentral:rRNA from 1 species
UACGAAGGGGGCUAGCGUUGCUCGGAAUCACUGGGCGUAAAGCGCACGUAGGCGGCUUUCUAAGUCAGGGGUGAAAUCCUGGAGCUCAACUCCAGAACUGCCUUUGAUACUGGAGAGCUUGAGUUCGGGAGAGGUGAGUGGAACUGCGAGUGUAGAGGUGAAAUUCGUAGAUAUUCGCAAGAACACCAGUGGCGAAGGCGGCUCACUGGCCCCGAUACUGACGCUGAAGUGCGAAAGCUAGGGGAGCGAACAGG